rnacentral:lncRNA from 1 species
CAGUCCUAUAUGUAUUAUUUUGAAGGGUAACUCCAAAAAAUUUAGGGGAUAUAACUUCUACCAUGCUAAAGAAUAAGAGUUGUUUGGCAUUUCUUUCAGAAAAAGAGUAUCUUGGUGAAGGAACUGAUACCUUUAAUAUAAAACUUUUGAAGUUUAACAGGUAGAAAAACUGACACAAUCUAGUGAACCCAUAGAAUUGAAUUUGAUUAGAUCAAAUCUAAAAUCUAUUGUAAAGGCACCAUUAAGG